CAAUAGCGUAUAUUAAAGUUGUUGCGGUUAAAAAGCUCGUAGUUGGAUUUCUGCUGAGAACGAGCGGUCCGCCCUCUGGGUGUGUAUCUGGCUCUUUCUUGGCAUCUUCUUGGUGAACGUUGCUGCACUUGACUGUGUGGAGCGCUACCCAGGACUUUUACUUUGAGGAAAUUAGAGUGUUUCAAGCAGGCAUACGCCUUGAAUACAUUAGCAUGGAAUAAUAAGAUAGGACCUCGGUUCUAUUUUGUUGGUUUCUAGAGCUGAGGUAAUGAUUAAUAGGGAUAGUUGGGGGCAUUCGUAUUUAACUGUCAGAGGUGAAAUUCUUGGAUUUGUUAAAGACGGACUACUGCGAANGNAUUUGCNAAGGAUGUUUNCAUUG
rnacentral:rRNA from 1 species